CCUGUCACAUCACACUGUGACUUAUUUUGAGUUUUUUGGUGUUUUCCUGUGUGUAGUGUUUUAGUUCUUGUCUUGCGUUCCUAUUUUGGGGUCUUUCUCUUUUUUUGGUGUUUUCCUGUAGCAGUUUCAUGUCUUCCUUUGAAUGAUAUUUCCCACAUCUACUUUGUUUUAGCAAUCAAGAAUAUUUCAGUUGUUUUUAUCAUUCUUUGUGGGGACAUUGUUGAUCGUCAUGUUAUGUUCGGGAUUUACAUUGUGGAUGCGGUCUUUGCUCCACAGUAAGUCUUUGCUGUUGUCCAGCAUUCUGUUUUUGUUUACUUAGUAGCCAGUUCAGUUUUAGUAUCGUUCUGCAUAGCCUUCCCUAAGCUUCAAUGCCUUUUCUUAGGGGCGCUCACCUUUUGUUUAUUUUUGGUUUAAGCAUUAGACACCUUUUUACCUGCACACUGCCUCCCGCUGUUUCCGACAUCUACAAAGCAAUUAGCUGCCUGCUGCCACCUAUAGAUAUGAAAGAGUAUGACAUAGUUUCUCUGCCGAGCUGUAGACAGCACCGACACUCAACAACACAUAAUUUGCAGACUAUAAUUACUGGUUUGCAAAAAAUAUUUUUAACCCAAAUAGGUGAAAUUAGAUAAUCUCCAACGGCACACCAGACUGUAUCUCACGGCACACUAGUGUGCCGCGGCACAGUGGUUGAAAAACACUGACCUAGAGGAUGAAGAAAUAACAGAUGAUGCUAACUAAGCAGGCAAGGAAAAUAUGCCGUGGCAUUGGAGAUGAAGGACUGAAACGGCUGAAUGCGAGUGGUCUCAGUGAGGAUGACAAGAAGAAGCUUGCUAAACUAUGGGAAUUCUAUGAAGAGGGUUCAUCCCAAUAAAUUGACAACAUACACAGACCUGAUAGAAUCCCACAGAAAGAGAAGAUUGUCUUCUGCAGAGAAACCUCCCCAUCAAGCAUGUAAAGAUCACAAGCUUACUGUCUCUUCACGAUCAAUAGGAGAAGGAGAAUGGCUGGACACGUACACCGACUGCCAAGAGAGAGACCGGCAAGUGUGGCAAUGGACGGUGCCAGAAGGGGGAAAGAGGAAGAGAAGACUUGGAGACAAACAGCCAAGGAAGACCUGAGAGAGAUGGGAGUCAGCUGGCAUGGAGCAAGAAGAGUCGCCAGUGACCGGAACAAAUGGAGGGGACUCGUCGCCCAAUGUUCCAACAGGAAUGGGAGGAACUAAGUCUAAGCUCAAUACAGCUGAAAUGGCAUUUUUUACUGAGUACGCUGCUGUAAUGAAGCCUGUUGCCAUGGGCCUGAACAUCCUUGCAUUUGGGCUUCCUGCUGCCAACACUUCACCAGUUGCAGGACAAGCUGAAGAAGUUGGAGUCAUCUUGCAAAGUGUGUAGACCUCUCAUUGAUGUCCUGCAGGAGAGGAUGCAGAAACGUUUCGGAGAGAUGAUGAAACAUCCUGAGCAGAUUGCAGCAGCUAUACUCCUACCAAAAUUCAGGACAUCCUGGACCACUGAUGAGCAUCUUAAAUGACGGCCUCGGCUACAUCAAAAAUCACCUGGACACUGACUUGGAGAUGGAUGAUGCUCCCACAAACAGUAGUCACUCUGAUGAAGAUGACUUCUUUGCAUCGCUGAGUACAGGACAAUCAAAAACAGGAGACCUGGGAAGUACCUUUUAUGGCCAUCCACUGGAGGUAUGGAUCUCUUGCAUUCCUUUCCUCAAAUCAAGAGCCUGUCACUGAAAAUCAACACAGGCCUCCCAGAAUCUGCAGCCUGUGAGAGACUUUUUAGUCACGCAGGACUCCUGUUCACGGCUAAAAGGUCACAGUUUCACAGUGUGAACCUUGAGAGCCAGUUGGUGUUGAAACUGAAUAGUCACUUAACUGAGUGAUUCGGAGUGAGCACACGCGCACACACACACACAUCAGAAGUGCACAUUGUGUUCCGAAGUGCAGCCCACACCUAUCAGAGUUUAUGGUUUGCGUAAAGGCUAACUUGUUCUUUUCCUUAGUAAUCUCUGCCUAUUGAGCCUAUUGUGCUGUUAAGUUAUUGUGGCUCAAUUUGCCUUAAUUUAUUUUAUUUUAAUGUAUUAUUUAAUUUAUUAUUGUUUUAGUUGCUUAAGAGAUAUUCUUGGCUCUGAAUUCGUUCAUUGCUAUUUUUAUGUUUUUGUGCAUUAUUUGUUGCCGUUGUCAUUAA